rnacentral:rRNA from 1 species
UGGGGAAUAUUGGACAAUGGGCGCAAGCCUGAUCCAGCCAUGCCGCGUGAGUGAUGAAGGCCCUAGGGUUGUAAAGCUCUUUCACCGGUGAAGAUAAUGACGGUAACCGGAGAAGAAGCCCCGGCUAACUUCGUGCCAGCAGCCGCGGUAAUACGAAGGGGGCUAGCGUUGUUCGGAUUUACUGGGCGUAAAGCGCACGUAGGCGGACUUUUAAGUCAGGGGUGAAAUCCCGGGGCUCAACCCCGGAACUGCCUUUGAUACUGGAAGUCUUGAGUAUGGUAGAGGUGAGUGGAAUUCCGAGUGUAGAGGUGAAAUUCGUAGAUAUUCGGAUGAACACCAGUGGCGAAGGCGGCUCACUGGACCAUUACUGACGCUGAGGUGCGAAAGCGUGGGGAGCAAACAGG